AGACCCGAAACCCGGUGAUCUAGCCAUGGGCAGGUUGAAGGUUGGGUAACACUAACUGGAGGACCGAACCGACUAAUGUUGAAAAAUUAGCGGAUGACCUGUGGCUGGGGGUGAAAGGCCAAUCAAACCGGGAGAUAGCUGGUUCUCCCCGAAAGCUAUUUAGGUAGCGCCUCGUGAAUUCAUCUCCGGGGGUAGAGCACUGUUUCGGCUAGGGGGCCAUCCCGGCUUACCAACCCGAUGCAAACUGCGAAUACCGGAGAAUGUUAUCACGGGAGACACACGGCGGGUGCUAACGUCCGUCGUGAAGAGGGAAACAACCCAGACCGCCAGCUAAGGUCCCAAAGUCAUGGUUAAGUGGGAAACGAUGUGGGAAGGCCCAGACAGCCAGGAUGUUGGCUUAGAAGCAGCCAUCAUUUAAAGAAAGCGUAAUAGCUCACUGGUCGAGUCGGCCUGCGCGGAAGAUGUAACGGGGCUAAACCAUGCACCGAAGCUGCGGCAGCGACGCUGAUGCGUUGUUGGGUAGGGGAGCGUUCUGUAAGCCUGCGAAGGUGGCCUGUGAGGGUUGCUGGAGGUAUCAGAAGUGCGAAUGCUGACAUAAGUAACGAUAAAGCGGGUGAAAAGCCCGCUCGCCGGAAGACCAAGGGUUCCUGUCCAACGUUAAUCGGGGCAGGGUGAGUCGACCCCUAAGGCGAGGCCGAAAGGCGUAGUCGAUGGGAAACGGGUUAAUAUUCCCGUACUUGGUGUUACUGCGAAGGGGGGACGGAGAAGGCUAUGUUGGCCGGGCGACGGUUGUCCCGGUUUAAGCGUGUAGGCUGGUUUUCCAGGCAAAUCCGGAAAAUCAAGGCUGAGGCGUGAUGACGAGGCACUACGGUGCUGAAGCAACAAAUGCCCUGCUUCCAGGAAAAGCCUCUAAGCAUCAGGUAACAUCAAAUCGUACCCCAAACCGACACAGGUGGUCAGGUAGAGAAUACCAAGGCGCUUGAGAGAACUCGGGUGAAGGAACUAGGCAAAAUGGUGCCGUAACUUCGGGAGAAGGCACGCUGACACGUAGGUGAAGUGAUUUACUCAUGGAGCUGAAGUCAGUCGAAGAUACCAGCUGGCUGCAACUGUUUAUUAAAAACACAGCACUGUGCAAACACGAAAGUGGACGUAUACGGUGUGACGCCUGCCCGGUGCCGGAAGGUUAAUUGAUGGGGUCAGCGCAAGCGAAGCUCCUGAUCGAAGCCCCGGUAAACGGCGGCCGUAACUAUAACGGUCCUAAGGUAGCGAAAUUCCUUGUCGGGUAAGUUCCGACCUGCACGAAUGGCGUAAUGAUGGCCAGGCUGUCUCCACCCGAGACUCAGUGAAAUUGAACUCGCUGUGAAGAUGCAGUGUACCCGCGGCAAGACGGAAAGACCCCGUGAACCUUUACUAUAGCUUGACACUGAACAUUGAGCCUUGAUGUGUAGGAUAGGUGGGAGGCUUUGAAGUGUGGACGCCAGUCUGCAUGGAGCCGACCUUGAAAUACCACCCUUUAAUGUUUGAUGUUCUAACGUGGACCCGUUACCCGGGUUGCGGACAGUGUCUGGUGGGUAGUUUGACUGGGGCGGUCUCCUCCUAAAGAGUAACGGAGGAGCACGAAGGUUGGCUAAUCCUGGUCGGACAUCAGGAGGUUAGUGCAAUGGCAUAAGCCAGCUUGACUGCGAGCGUGACGGCGCGAGCAGGUGCGAAAGCAGGUCAUAGUGAUCCGGUGGUUCUGAAUGGAAGGGCCAUCGCUCAACGGAUAAAAGGUACUCCGGGGAUAACAGGCUGAUACCGCCCAAGAGUUCAUAUCGACGGCGGUGUUUGGCACCUCGAUGUCGGCUCAUCACAUCCUGGGGCUGAAGUAGGUCCCAAGGGUAUGGCUGUUCGCCAUUUAAAGUGGUACGCGAGCUGGGUUUAGAACGUCGUGAGACAGUUCGGUCCCUAUCUGCCGUGGGCGCUGGAGAACUGAGGGGGGCUGCUCCUAGUACGAGAGGACCGGAGUGGACGCAUCACUGGUGUUCGGGUUGUCAUGCCAAUGGCACUGCCCGGUAGCUAAAUGCGGAAGAGAUAAGUGCUGAAAGCAUCUAAGCACGAAACUUGCCCCGAGAUGAGUUCUCCCUGAGACUUAGAGUCUCCUGAAGGAACGUUGAAGACGACGACGUUGAUAGGCCGGGUGUGUAAGCGCAGCGAUGCGUUGAGCUAACCGGUACUAAUGAACCGUGAGGCUUAACCUUACAACGCCG
rnacentral:rRNA from 1 species